CUGAGUACUACACUCUCUACCCUUUGUGAACUAUUAUACCUGUUGCUUCGGCGGCGCCCGCGAGGGUGCCCCGCCGGUCUCAUCAGAAUCUCUGUUUUCGAACCCGACGAUACUUCUGAGUGUUCUUAGCGAACUGUCA
rnacentral:misc_RNA from 1 species